rnacentral:lncRNA from 1 species
GUUUGAGAUCGGUCAGGAUUUGAAGCUGAUAAAGAGAGGCAGAGACUGCACAGAAAGAACAAAACAAACAAACAAACUCCAAAGCCAUUCAGAGGGAUCUCAUCAGGCUGGAGAAAUGGGCUGACAGGAGCCUCAUGAAAUUCAGCAAAGCCUGGGGAAGCAUGGUCUGUUUCUGCCUUGUGAGCAUGAAUCACUACAAUACAGCACAGAUGUGUGAGAACCUGAGCCUCCGGCUAUUGCUUCAGCCUGCUGUUGCUGCUCAUCCUGAAAACACAACAUGCUACUGCAGCCUGUGCUGCCCUAGCAAGGCUGGCUGAGGGAUGAAGAACCCCCUGACAUGCAACAAAGGAAAAACAC